rnacentral:rRNA from 1 species
ACGAACGCUGGCGGCGUGCCUAAUACAUGCAAGUUGAGCGCUGAAGGUUGGUACUUGUACCGACUGGAUGAGCAGCGAACGGGUGAGUAACGCGUGGGGAAUCUGCCUUUGAGCGGGGGACAACAUUUGGAAACGAAUGCUAAUACCGCAUAAAAACUUUAAACACAAGUUUUAAGUUUGAAAGAUGCAAUUGCAUCACUCAAAGAUGAUCCCGCGUUGUAUUAGCUAGUUGGUGAGGUAAAGGCUCACCAAGGCGAUGAUACAUAGCCGACCUGAGAGGGUGAUCGGCCACAUUGGGACUGAGACACGGCCCAAACCCCUACGGGAGGCAGCAGUAGGGAAUCUUCGGCAAUGGACGAAAGUCUGACCGAGCAACGCCGCGUGAGUGAAGAAGGUUUUCGGAUCGUAAAACUCUGUUGGUAGAGAAGAACGUUGGUGAGAGUGGAAAGCUCAUCAAGUGACGGUAACUACCCAGAAAGGGACGGCUAACUACGUG